AUUGAACGCUGGCGGCAGGCCUAACACAUGCAAGUCGAGCGGAUGAGGGAAGCUUGCUUCCUGAUUUAGCGGCGGACGGGUGAGUAAUGCCUAGGAAUCUGCCUAUUAGUGGGGGAUAACGUUCCGAAAGGAACGCUAAUACCGCAUACGUCCUACGGGAGAAAGUGGGGGAUCUUCGGACCUCACGCUAAUAGAUGAGCCUAGGUCGGAUUAGCUAGUUGGUGGGGUAACGGCUCACCAAGGCGACGAUCCGUAGCUGGUCUGAGAGGAUGAUCAGCCACACUGGAACUGAGACACGGUCCAGACUCCUACGGGAGGCAGCAGUGGGGAAUAUUGGACAAUGGGCGAAAGCCUGAUCCAGCAAUGCCGCGUGUGUGAAGAAGGCCUUCGGGUUGUAAAGCACUUUCAGUGAGGAAGAAAAGCUUAUGGCUAAUAAUCAUAAGAAUUGACGUUACUCACAGAAGAAGCACUGGCUAACUCUGUGCCAGCCGCCGCGGUAAAGC
rnacentral:rRNA from 1 species